UACAGAGGGGGCAAGCGUUAAUCGGAAUUACUGGGCGUAAAGCGCGCGUAGGCGGCUUUGCAAGUCGAGUGUGAAAUCCCCAGGCUUAACCUGGGAACUGCAUUCGAGACUGCAUAGCUAGAGUAUGGGAGAGGGAAGUGGAAUUUCAGGUGUAGCGGUGAAAUGCGUAGAUAUCUGAAGGAACAUCAGUGGCGAAAGCGACUUCCUGGACCAAUACUGACGCUCAUGUGCGAAAGCGUGGGGAGCAAACAGG
rnacentral:rRNA from 1 species